UCACUCUGGUUUCUCUUCAGAUCGUAUAAAUCUUUCUCCUUUUACUAAAGAUUUCCAUGGAAAAGAAAAGCUCAUACUCAAAGUCACUUUGCUGAUGUUCAUAAUGCACAAA